rnacentral:pre_miRNA from 1 species
CUACUACUCCCUUUGUCCGAAAAUACUUGUCGGAGAAAUGGAUAAAAAUAGAUGUAUCUAGAACUAAAAUACAUCUAGAUACAUCCAUUUCUACGACAAGUAUUUCUGGACGGAGGGAGUACUAA